GAUGAACGCUAGCGGCAGGCUUAACACAUGCAAGUCGAGGGGUAACAUUGUAGCUUGCUACAGAUGACGACCGGCGCACGGGUGCGUAACGCGUAUAGAACCUACCUUUUACAGAGGGAUAGCCCAGAGAAAUUUGGAUUAAUACCUCAUAGUAUUAUAGAUUGGCAUCGAUUUAUAAUUAAAGAUUUAUUGGUAAGAGAUGGCUAUGCGUCCUAUUAGUUAGUUGGAGAGGUAACGGCUCCCCAAGACAGCGAUAGGUAGGGGUCCUGAGAGGGAGACCCCCCACACUGGUACUGAGACACGGACCAGACUCCUACGGGAGGCAGCAGUGAGGAAUAUUGGACAAUGGAGGCAACUCUGAUCCAGCCAUGCCGCGUGCAGGAAGACGGUCCUAUGGAUUGUAAACUGCUUUUAUACAGGAAGAAAAGUCCCGACGUGUCGGGAUCUGACGGUACUGUAAGAAUAAGCACCGGCUAACUCCGUGCCAGCAGCCGCGGUAAUACGGAGGGUGCAAGCGUUGUUCGGAAUUAUUGGGCGUAAAGCGCGUGUAGGCGGUCUGUUAAGUCUGGUGUGAAAGCCCUGGGCUCAACCCAGGAAGUGCAUUGGAUACUGGCAGACUUGAGUAUGGGAGAGGAAAGCGGAAUUCCGAGUGUAGGAGUGAAAUCCGUAGAUAUUCGGAGGAACACCAGUGGCGAAGGCGGCUUUCUGGACCAAUACUGACGCUGAGACGCGAAAAGCGUGGGGAGCAAAACAGGAUUAGAUACCCUGGUAGUCCACGCCGUAAACGAUGGGUACUAGGUGUUGCGGGUAACCACUCCUGCAGUGCCGAAGCUAACGCAUUAAGUACCCCGCCUGGGGAGUACGGCCGCAAGGCUAAAACUCAAAGGAAUUGACGGGGGCCCGCACAAGCGGUGGAGCAUGUGGUUUAAUUCGACGCAACGCGAAGAACCUUACCUGGAUUUGACAUCCCGAUCGUACCUUUUGGAAACAUAAGGGUCAGCUUGGCUGGAUCGGUGACAGGUGCUGCAUGGCUGUCGUCAGCUCGUGUCGUGAGAUGUCGGGUUAAGUCCCGCAACGAGCGCAACCCCUAUCCUUAGUUGCCAUCAUUAAGUUGGGCACUCUAGGGAGACUGCCGGUGUUAAACCGGAGGAAGGUGGGGAUGACGUCAAGUCCUCAUGGCCCUUAUAUCCAGGGCUACACACGUGCUACAAUGGCCGGUACAAAGGGCAGCGAUACCGCGAGGUGGAGCUAAUCCCAAAAAGCCGGUCUCAGUUCGGAUUGGAGUCUGCAACUCGACUCCAUGAAGUUGGAAUCGCUAGUAAUCGUAGAUCAGCAUGCUACGGUGAAUACGUUCCCGGGCCUUGUACACACCGCCCGUCACACCACGGGAGUCUAUUGUACCGGAAACCGGUGGGCUAACCCCUCGGGGAAGCAGCCGUUUAUGGUAUGAUCGGUAACUGGGGUGA
rnacentral:rRNA from 1 species